rnacentral:rRNA from 1 species
CUGAGUACGGCGGAACACGUGAAAUUCCGUCGGAAUCCGGGAGGACCAUCUCCCAAGGCUAAAUACUCCCUAGUGACCGAUAGUGAACCAGUACCGUGAGGGAAAGGUGAAAAGCACCCCGGAAGGGGAGUGAAACAGUUCCUGAAACCGUGUGCCUACAAGUAGUUAGAGCCCGUUAAUGGGUGAUAGCGUGCCUUUUGUAGAAUGAACCGGCGAGUUACGAUUUGUUGCAAGGUUAAGCGGAAAAAGCGGAGCCGUAGCGAAAGCGAGUCUGAAUAGGGCGCAUAAGUAACAGGUCGUAGACCCGAAACCAGGUGAUCUACCCAUGUCCAGGAUGAAGGUAAGGUAAUACUUACUGGAGGUCCGAACCCACGCACGUUGAAAAGUGCGGGGAUGAGGUGUGGGUAGCGGAGAAAUUCCAAUCGAACUUGGAGAUAGCUGGUUCUCUCCGAAAUAGCUUUAGGGCUAGCCUCGAGGUAAAGAGUCAUGGAGGUAGAGCACUGUUUGGACUAGGGGCCCUUCUCGGGUUACCGAAUUCAGAUAAACUCCGAAUGCCAUGUACUUAUACUCGGGAGUCAGACUGCGAGUGAUAAGAUCCGUAGUCGAAAGGGAAACAGCCCAGACCACCAGUUAAGGUCCCCAAAUAUAUGUUAAGUGGAAAAGGAUGUGGGGUUGCUUAGACAACCAGGAUGUUGGCUUAGAAGCAGCCACCAUUGAAAGAGUGCGUAAUAGCUCACUGGUCGAGUGACCCCGCGCCGAAAAUGUACCGGGGCUAAACAUAUUACCGAAACUGUGGAUGAACCUCUUUAGAGGUUCGUGGUAGGAGAGCGUUCUAAGGGCGGUGAAGUCAGACCGGAAGGACUGGUGGAGCGCUUAGAAGUGAGAAUGCCGGUAUGAGUAGCGAAAGAAGGGUGAGAAUCCCUUCCACCGAAUAUCUAAGGUUUCCUGAGGAAGGCUCGUCCGCUCAGGGUUAGUCGGGACCUAAGCCGAGGCCGAUAGGCGUAGGCGAUGGACAACAGGUAGAGAUUCCUGUACCAGUGCUAAUUGUUUAACCGAUGGGGUGACACAGAAGGAUAGGGAAUCGCACGAAUGGAAAUGUGCGUCCAAGCAGUGAGUGUGAGAAGUAGGCAAAUCCGCUUCUCGCGAAGCAUGAGCUGUGAUGGGGAAGGAAAUUAAGUACGGAAGUUCCUGAUUUCACGCUGUCAAGAAAAGCCUCUAGGAAGAGUAGUACUGCCCGUACCGCAAACCGACACAGGUAGAUGAGGAGAGAAUCCUAAGGUGAGCGAGAGAACUCUCGUUAAGGAACUCGGCAAAAUGACCCCGUAACUUCGGGAGAAGGGGUGCUCUAUUAGGGUGCAAGCCCGAGAGAGCCGCAGUGAAUAGGCCCAGGCGACUGUUUAGCAAAAACACAGGUCUCUGCAAAACCGUAAGGUGACGUAUAGGGGCUGACGCCUGCCCGGUGCUGGAAGGUUAAGAGGAGUGCUUAGCUUCGGCGAAGGUACGAAUUGAAGCCCCAGUAAACGGCGGCCGUAACUAUAACGGUCCUAAGGUAGCGAAAUUCCUUGUCGGGUAAGUUCCGACCCGCACGAAAGGCGCAACGAUCUGGGCACUGUCUCAACGAGAGACUCGGUGAAAUUAUAGUACCUGUGAAGAUGCAGGUUACCCGCGACAGGACGGAAAGACCCCGUGGAGCUUUACUGCAACCUGAUAUGGAAUGUUUGUACCGCUUGUACAGGAUAGGUAGGAGCCGAAGAGACGUGUGCGCUAGCAUACGAGGAGGCAAUGGUGGGAUACUACCCUGGCUGUAUGACCAUUCUAACCCGCCACGCUUAGCGCGUGGGGAGACAGUGUCAGGUGGGCAGUUUGACUGGGGCGGUCGCCUCCUAAAGAGUAACGGAGGCGCCCAAAGGUUCCCUCAGAAUGGAUGGAAAUCAUUCGCAGAGUGUAAAGGCACAAGGGAGCUUGACUGCGAGACUGACAAGUCGAGCAGGGACGAAAGUCGGGCUUAGUGAUCCGGUGGUUCCGCAUGGAAGGGCCAUCGCUCAACGGAUAAAAGCUACCCCGGGGAUAACAGGCUUAUCUCCCCCAAGAGUCCACAUCGACGGGGAGGUUUGGCACCUCGAUGUCGGCUCGUCGCAUCCUGGGGCUGUAGUCGGUCCCAAGGGUUGGGCUGUUCGCCCAUUAAAGCGGCACGCGAGCUGGGUUCAGAACGUCGUGAGACAGUUCGGUCCCUAUCCGUCGCGGGCGCAGGAAAUUUGAGAGGAGCUGUCCUUAGUACGAGAGGACCGGGAUGGACACACCGCUGGUGUACCAGUUGUUCCGCCAGGAGCAUCGCUGGGUAGCUAUGUGUGGCAGGGAUAAACGCUGAAAGCAUCUAAGCGUGAAGCCCCCCUCAAGAUGAGAUUUCCCAUUUCUUCGGAAAGUAAGAUCCCUGAAAGAUGAUCAGGUAGAUAGGUUUGGAGUG